AAAAGUGCGAAAAUUCAAAGAAUCAAGUGACAAAAGGUGGUGAAUCCUCCGAUAAGGGCAAAAAAAUUGUACCCGAGGAUCGAUAGUCGGAGUACUCUAAAAAUUUGAAUCCCGAAAUACUUGCUGCAGUGGGCGGGUUCUGUGGACCAACCUAUUAG